rnacentral:rRNA from 1 species
GCAUCAGGUAAUGUCUUUCAGGGGCGGUCUAAGCUCCAGAUUGAACGCUGGCGGGAUGCUUUACACAUGCAAGUCGAACGGCAGCACGGACUUCGGUCUGGUGGCGAGUAGCGAACGGGUGAGUAAUGUAUCGGAACGUGCCUAGUAGCGGGGGAUAACUACGCGAAAGCGUAGCCUAAUACCACAUACGCCCUUCGGGGAAAGCGGGGGGACCUUCGGGCCUCGCACUAUUAGAGGCGGCCGAUAUCGGAUUAGCUAGUUGGUGAAAUUAACGGCUCACCAAGGCGACGAUCCGUAGCGCUGGUUUUGAGAGGACGACCAGCCACACUGGGACUGAGACACGGCCCAGACUCCUACAGGAGGGGCAGCAGUGGAAAUUUUGGACAAUGGAAACCCUGAUCCAGCCAUCCCGCGUGUGCGUAGAGAGGCCCUUCGGGUUGUAAAGCACUUUUGGCAGGGGAAAGAAGCAGCACGGGAUAAUACCCCGUGCAACUGACGGCACCUGCAGAAUAAGCACCGGCUAACUACGUGCCAGCAGCCGCGGUAAUACGUAGGGUGCAAGCGUUAAUCGGAAUUACUGGGCGUAAAGCGUGCGCAGGCGGUUCGGAAAGAAGAUGUGAAAUCCCAGAGCUUAACUUUGGAACUGCAUUUUUAACUACCGAGCUAGAGUGUGUGUCAGAGGGAAGUGGAAUUCCGCGUGUAGCAGUGAAAUGCGUAGAUAUGCGGGAGGAACACCGAUGGCGAAGGCAACCUCCUGGGAUAACACUGACGCUCAUGCACGAAAGCGUGGGGAGCAAACAGGAUUAGAUACCCUGGUGGUCCACGCCCUAAACGAUGUCAGCUAGCUGUUGGGGCCUUCGGGCCUUGGUAGCGCAGCUAACGCGUGAAGUUGACCGCCUGAAACAGUCGCAAGAUUAAAACUCAAAGGAAUUGACGGGGACCCGCACAAGCGGUGGAUGAUGUGGAUUAAUUCGAUGCAACGCGAAAAACCUUACCUACCCUUGACAUGUCUGGAAUCCCGAAGAGAUUUGGGAGUGCUCGCAAGAGAACCGGAACACAGGUGCUGCAUGGCUGUCGUCAGCUCGUGUCGUGAGAUGUUGGGUUAAGUCCCGCAACGAGCGCAACCCUUGUCAUUAGUUGCUACGAAAGGGCACUCUAAUGAGACUGCCGGUGACAAACCGGAGGAAGGUGGGGAUGACGUCAAGUCCUCAUGGCCCUUAUGGGUAGGGCUUCACACGUCAUACAAUGGUCGGGACAGAGGGUCGCCAACCCGCGAGGGGAGCCAAUCCCAAGCCCGAUCGUAGUCCGGAUCGCAGUCUGCAACUCGACUGCGUGAAGUCGGAAUCGCUAGUAAUCGCGGAUCAGCAUGUCGCGGUGAAUACGUUUCCCAGGUCUUGUACACACCGCCCGUCACACCAUGGGAGUGGGUUUUACCAGAAGUAGUUAGCCUAACCGUAAGGAGGGCGAUUACCACGGUAGGAUUCAUGACUGGGGUGAAGUCGUAACAAGGAAGCUAA